GCAAGUCGAACGGUAACAUGACUAGCUUGCUAGUUGAUGACGAGUGGCGGACGGGUGAGUAACGCGUAGGAAUCUACCCAGUAGCGGGGGAUAAGCCAGAGAAAUUUGGUCUAAUACCGCAUACGCCCUUCGGGGGAAAGCAGGGGAUCUUCGGACCUUGCACUAUUGGAUGAGCCUGCGUGAGAUUAGCUUGUUGGUGAGGUAAUGGCUCACCAAGGCGACGAUCUCUAGCUGGUCUGAGAGGAUGAUCAGCCACACUGGAACUGAGACACGGUCCAGACUCCUACGGGAGGCAGCAGUGGGGAAUAUUGCACAAUGGGCGCAAGCCUGAUGCAGCCAUGCCGCGUGUGUGAAGAAGGCCCUAGGGUUGUAAAGCACUUUCAGCAGUGAGGAAAGGUUAGUAGUUAAUACCUGCUAGCUGUGACGUUAACUGCAGAAGAAGCACCGGCUAACUCCGUGCCAGCAGCCGCGGUAAUACGGAGGGUGCGAGCGUUAAUCGGAAUUACUGGGCGUAAAGCGCGCGUAGGUGGAUUGGUCAGUCAGAUGUGAAAGC
rnacentral:rRNA from 1 species